rnacentral:rRNA from 1 species
GAUGAACGCUGGCGGCGUGCCUAAUACAUGCAAGUCGAGCGAACAGACGAGGAGCUUGCUCCUCUGACGUUAGCGGCGGACGGGUGAGUAACACGUGGAUAACCUACCUAUAAGACUGGGAUAACUUCGGGAAACCGGAGCUAAUACCGGAUAAUAUAUUGAACCGCAUGGUUCAAUAGUGAAAGACGGUUGUGCUGUCACUUAUAGAUGGAUCCGCGCCGCAUUAGCUAGUUGUUAAGGUAACGGCUUACCAAGGCAACGAUGCGUAGCCGACCUGAGAGGGUGAUCGGCCACACUGGAACUGAGACACGGUCCAGACUCCUACGGGAGGCCGCAGUAGGGAAUCUUCCGCAAUGGGCGAAAGCUUGACGGAGCAACGCCGCGUGAGUGAUGACGGUCUUCGGAUCGUAAAACUCUGUUAUUAGGGAAGAACAAAUGUGUAAGUAACUAUGCACGUCUUGACGGUACCUAAUCAGAAAGCCACGGCUAACUACGUG